rnacentral:rRNA from 1 species
UACGGAGGGGGCUAGCGUUGUUCGGAAUUACUGGGCGUAAAGCGCGCGUAGGCGGCUUUGUAAGUUAGAGGUGAAAGCCCGGAGCUUAACUCCGGAACUGCCUUUAAGACUGCAUCGCUAGAAUUGUGGAGAGGUGAGUGGAAUUCCGAGUGUAGAGGUGAAAUUCGUAGAUAUUCGGAAGAACACCAGUGGCGAAGGCGACUCACUAGACACAUAUUGACGCUGAGGUGCGAAAGCGUGGGGAGCAAACAGG